rnacentral:lncRNA from 1 species
CUGUACAAAAAAGCCCUGUGACACAAGUUUACCUGUAUCACAAACCUAUGCAUGUGCCCCGAUCCUAAAAGUUAAAUAAAAGAAUAAAAUAAAUCUAAAAGUCCUUGUAUCUAAAAGGAAAAUUGCUGAGUUGUAUGGUAAGCUCCUUCCUUGCCAGCUAUCUUUCUGGUGAGUGUUCAGUGAAGGCCUGUGUUAAAAAGUUGGCAGGCAGCGUAGGUUCUGCUUGUCUACAGGACCCUCAAGGUCUCUAAACUCUUAUACCAGCCUGUACUCAGCCUUUAAAAAUCCUUAAAAGUUCACCUGUUUUCUUCCUGCUGUGUCUAUGGAAGUUUCCUCUUCUCCCUGCUACUUCACCAAAGAUGAAAACAUCCAUGGUUUCCGUAUCUCCUAAGAGGACUGGGCAUUUCUCAUACUUUAAUUCAUUAUGUUACUUUAAUUCAUUAUGUUACUUUAAGACUUUAGGUAUUUGAUGGGUUUAAAAUAUUUCCUUUUAGGUUAUCUAACUUGUUUUUAUUUUGUGAGUGGCUGAUUUCAUCAAAAUUAAAACUGUGAUACAGGGAUAGUCUUCUCCAUCAACAAAUGUUUUAAUGUCAGAGGAGAUGUCUUCUGCACUUAGUUUCCCAAAAUAUUUAAGACAGUAGAGGUUGUAGCAGUUCUUGCAGUCACUAAAUCAGCAACUUCUUGCUCUAAAGAAAGGCAUUUUAUAGGAUUUUCAGCAGUUUUGUAAUGUACAUAUAUAUAUUGCUAAGGCUUUCUCAGGGUAAAUGUAAGUGUAAAAUUCUCAUCUGCAAGAGAAGAGAGUCUGUAGGUAAUGCCUAGAGCUGAAAUAUCAAGAAAUAAGAUACUUUAGCAAAGUAUAAACUUGAGAAAAGUAUUUUGAGAGAAGUCAAAUACUCAUUGAGCCAUCACUUUAAACUAGAUUGUUUCAAGAAGAAAAGGAACAGAUUUGCAAUAAAUUUCCUUUUUUCUCACUUCCUCCCACUUGUUGGGUGGAGAACUGCUAAGCAAUUAAAUCCACUUGUUGGUUUUUCAAGAUUUGAAAAACAAAUUAAACAGAAUUUUCCACAUAUCAACUCCAAUUUUUCUUUGUCUGAGUGGUCCACUCAUUUUUACUUAAAUGUGGGGAGCUCUUGCAGUUGCUGCAAUGCGUAUAGUCAUAAUCACAUAAGUUUUCUUGGAAUUUCUUUCUAAGGGAGGUUAAUACAUUUCUAACAAGUAUGCUUUCUUGGAGAUAAAUAAUAAAUAUAUAUAAGCUUGUACCUUAAAUCUUCUUUAAAAUCAUUUGACAUUAUUAAAUGCAGGUCCCAGAUAUCCUGUCCUUUUCACCUUUAAAAUAUAAAAAAAAGUGAAAAUAAACUGUAAUCUACAGAUGUGUAGAGAAACUGUGAUUUUAGGUAUCUAGAUUGUUUGGCUCACUUGAGACAAAGGCUGAUGUCUGAUUCUUACAUAAAUGCUGUUAGCUCUGCUCAGAGAAAAACUAUGCUAGUGUCCUUGUGCUUCUUCUGUAUGCAUAGACACAAAUCUCAGUGACACCAGCAUAAACAAGCUGACAGGAGGAUACAGUUUAAGAAUUUACAAGAUUUCUAACUGCCAAUAGGCCAGGCAUCCUCAGGCAAGCACCUUCUCUCCCUGCAGGCAAGGUAAGUAAGAAUCCAGCUUUUAUUUUGGGACUUAAUUGUUGAGCAGCAAAUCAGAGCAAAGGGAGCAAGUAAAGUUCAAAUGGUUGGUCAAGUUCAGGCUCUGAGAGGCUGGUGUAUGUGUCUCUAUGAGAGGAAUAUAGCCAUUCUUGGCAAUGAACAGGUCAAAUCUUCCACCAAGGGACCCUUUUCCAGAGAGCAAAUGCAUGAGCUUUCCUGAAGUUUGCUUUCUUCUCUAACUCUCCUUUACCUUUUCUCCAUUCAGUAUUAAAGCUUCUUAUCACUGACACACUCUUUCAUUAGUUAUAUUAAACUCUUCCAAAAAACUUUGCAAAACCCUAAUUCACCGUUUUAUGCAGAAUAACACUUUUCCCUUAAAUUUUCAUCCCAAUCUAAUAUUUAAUAUUAUUUUUCCACAUAUUUACUUGUUAGUAUUGCUAAUAAUAGCAGAAUGCUCUUGAUCUGCUCAAAUAAUUAAGAAUGACAGGCAGAUCAAAAGACCAAAAGAGGAUAGAGAGAGUCCAGGAAGGUAUCUAAGUAUAUAUGUAGAAAAAUAAUCACAUAAUAAAGUACAAUUUAUUUACCUUUGGCGGAAAUAAUUAACUGAGAUCCCCUGUUUCAUACCUCAAACCAAGGUAAUGAGUCAAACAAUUUCAAAACCCAAAAUGAAAUCAAAAACCUACCUGGAGGAAAAGUACAUGGAUUUAUAUUUAAAUUUAGGCUGAGAAAAACCUGUC